CUUUCUGUUUCUCUAUGAUUUAGUCUUCUCUGUGCCAUUUCUGAGCUCAUGCAUAGGAAGUGGGAAGAAAGAAAACAGAAACUGGGCGGUGUGAUACGAAAUGAGAAGAAAACAGAAGUGACAGGCCCUACAGACUAGCAUAUGGUGGGCACUUAAAUAUUUGUGGUGUAACCGAUUGGAAGGCCAGCUCCAGAAGGUUGCCUGUUACGGAUUCUCUGUGGUGUGGCCUGAGGAGUCAGAGACAGGUGCCCAGAGACCCAUCUGCCUACGGAGUCCAGGAGUGUUUGCUGAGCAAAGGUAGUGGAAAGGAGAGGUCUUGGGAAACCUCGAGAAGGAGCCACCAAGGAGGCAGAGAAAAGGUGGGACUCAGAAGAGAUGCCCCUUCACAUCUCCUCCUCCCAGGAAAGGCAAGAGUCAAGAAGAUGCUAGAAGAAGACAGGAGAGAUGCAACAAGAUGUGGAACUAGAGAAAACCCAGACGCAUCACAGACUUCCUUGAUGAUGGAGAGGAGGCAACAUCAAGAAGAAGGUAGGUGUCCCUGGAACCUGAGAGAGACCUCUGGGUGAUAGUCAGUAAGGGCACAGGACCUCCAAUGCUACAGCUGCAAGGAACUGGAUCCUACCAGCAAUAUGAAUAAGCCUAGAAGGUGCUUCUUUGCAGACCCUCCCAGUAAAAGCCCAGUUAGCCAAUACCUUGACUUCAGUCUUAUGGAACCUGCCAAGUUAACCCAGACUUCUGAACUACUGACAGUGACACAAUUCAUUUAUGUGGCCACCAAGUCUGUGAUUGUUAUGAGAGAAAUAGAAAACCAAUACAAAUUGUGUAAUAAAAUGCACAGCAACAUAAAGAACCUCAACAAUACCAUGAUGAACAAAAGAAGCCAGACUCAAAAGAAUGUAUAUUGUGUGAUUUCACUUCAGUGACGUUCUAGACCUGGCAAAUCUAAGAAAUGAGAACAGUGGUUGCCUAAGGAGGGAGGGCUAUUGAUGGGAAAGGGGAAUGGUUGCACUU